rnacentral:rRNA from 1 species
AUACAGGGGGUGCGAGCGUUAAUCGGAAUUACUGGGCGUAAAGAGUACGUAGGCGGUUGCUUAAGUCAGAUGUGAAAGCCCCGGGCUCAACCUGGGAACUGCAUUUGAAACUGAGUGACUAGAGUUUAAGAGAGGGGAGUAGAAUUCCGGGUGUAGCGGUGAAAUGCGUAGAGAUCCGGAGGAAUACCAGUGGCGAAGGCGGCUCCCUGGCUUAAACCUGACGCUGAGGUACGAAAGCGUGGGUAGCAAACAGGAUUAGAAACCCCAGUAGUCC